rnacentral:rRNA from 1 species
AGUCGAACGCACUUUCGUUAAUUGAUUUUGAGAUGCUUGCAUCGAAGAUGAUUUUAACUAUAAAGUGAGUGGCGAACGGGUGAGUAACACGUGGGUAACCUGCCCAGAAGUGGGGGAUAACACCUGGAAACAGAUGCUAAUACCGCAUAACAAAAUUAACCGCAUGGUUGAUUUUUAAAAGAUGGCUUCGGCUAUCACUUCUGGAUGGACCCGCGGCGUAUUAGCUAGUUGGUGAGAUAAAGGCUCACCAAGGCAGUGAUACGUAGCCGACCUGAGAGGGUAAUCGGCCACAUUGGGACUGAGACACGGCCCAGACUCCUACGGGAGGCAGCAGUAGGGAAUCUUCCACAAUGGACGCAAGUCUGAUGGAGCAACGCCGCGUGAGUGAUGAAGGCUUUCGGGUCGUAAAACUCUGUUGUUGGAGAAGAACGUGUGUGAGAGUAACUGCUCAUGCAGUGACGGUAUCCAACCAGAAAGCCACGGCUAACUACGUGCCAGCAGCCGCGGUAAUACGUAGGUGGCAAGCGUUAUCCGGAUUUAUUGGGCGUAAAGCGAGCGCAGGCGGUCUUUUAAGUCUAAUGUGAAAGCCUUCGGCUUAACCGAAGAAGUGCAUUGGAAACUGGGAGACUUGAGUGCAGAAGAGGAGAGUGGAACUCCAUGUGUAGCGGUGAAAUGCGUAGAUAUAUGGAAGAACACCAGUGGCGAAGGCGGCUCUCUGGUCUGCAACUGACGCUGAGGCUCGAAAGCAUGGGUAGCGAACAGGAUUAGAUACCCUGGUAGUCCAUGCCGUAAACGAUGAAUGCUAAGUGUUGGAGGGUUUCCGCCCUUCAGUGCUGCAGCUAACGCAUUAAGCAUUCCGCCUGGGGAGUACGACCGCAAGGUUGAAACUCAAAAGAAUUGACGGGGGCCCGCACAAGCGGUGGAGCAUGUGGUUUAAUUCGAAGCUACGCGAAGAACCUUACCAGGUCUUGACAUCUUCUGCUAACCUAAGAGAUUAGGCGUUCCCUUCGGGGACGGAAUGACAGGUGGUGCAUGGUUGCCUUCACCUCCUGUCCUGAGAUGUGGGGUU